rnacentral:rRNA from 1 species
UACGGAGGGGGCGAGCGUUAUUCGGAAUUAUUGGGCGUAAAGGGCGCGUAGGCGGCCCGGUAAGUCAAAGGUGAAAUCCCUCGGCUCAACUGAGGAACUGCCUUUGAAACUGUCGGGCUUGAGGCCGGGAGGGGGUAGCGGAAUUCCCAGUGUAGCGGUGAAAUGCGUAGAUAUCGAGAGGAACACCUGCGGCGAAGGCGGGUUGCUGGGCUGACACUGACGCUGAGGCGCGAAAGCUAGGGGAGCAAACGGG